rnacentral:rRNA from 1 species
AGUGAACGCUGGCGGUAGGCCUAACACAUGCAAGUCGAACGGCAGCACAGUAAGAGCUUGCUCUUACGGGUGGCGAGUGGCGGACGGGUGAGGAAUACAUCGGAAUCUACUUUUUCGUGGGGGAUAACGUAGGGAAACUUACGCUAAUACCUCAUACGACCUACGGGUGAAAGCAGGGGAUCUUCGGACCUUGCGCGAUUGAAUGAGCCGAUGUCGGAUUAGCUAGUUGGCGGGGUAAAGGCCCACCAAGGCGACGAUGCGUAGCUGGUCUGAGAGGAUGAUCAGCCACACUGGAAGUGAGACACGGUGCAGACUCCUACGGGAGGCAGCAGUGGGGAAUAUUGGACGAUGGGGGCAAGCCUGAUCCAGCAAUACCGCGUGAGUGAAGAAGGCCUUCGGGUUGUAAAGCCCUGUUGUUGGGAAAGAAAAGCAGCAGGUUAAUACCCCGCUGUUCUGACGGUACCCAAAGAAUAAGCACCGGCUAACUUCGUG